AUUGAACGCUGGCGGCAGGCCUAACACAUGCAAGUCGAGCGGAUGAAGGGAGCUUGCUCCUGGAUUCAGCGGCGGACGGGUGAGUAAUGCCUAGGAAUCUGCCUGGUAGUGGGGGACAACGUCUCGAAAGGAACGCUAAUACCGCAUACGUCCUACGGGAGAAAGCAGGGGACCUGCGGGCCUUGCGCUAUCAGAUGAGCCUAGGUCGGAUUAGCUAGUUGGUGAGGUAAUGGCUCACCAAGGCGACGAUCCGUAACUGGUCUGAGAGGAUGAUCAGUCACACUGGAACUGAGACACGGUCCAGACUCCUACGGGAGGCAGCAGUGGGGAAUAUUGGACAAUGGGCGAAAGCCUGAUCCAGCCAUGCCGCGUGUGUGAAGAAGGUCUUCGGAUUGUAAAGCACUUUAAGUUGGGAGGAAGGGUUGUAGAUUAAUACUCUGCAAUUUUGACGUUACCGACAGAAUAAGCACCGGCUAACUCUGUGCCAGCCGCCGCCGUAAGAC
rnacentral:rRNA from 1 species